ACAACGGCUCUUUUUAGGGCCAUACAAAGUACCACAAACAGUCCU
rfam:Atta cephalotes unplaced genomic scaffold scaffold00026, whole genome shotgun sequence.